GACGAUGCAAUCUAAGAGAUUAGACGUUCCCUUCGGGGACAUGGAUACAGGUGGUGCAUGGUUGUCGUCAGCUCGUGUCGUGAGAUGUUGGGUUAAGUCCCGCAACGAGCGCAACCCUUAUUAUCAGUUGCCAGCAUUAAGUUGGGCACUCUGGUGAGACUGCCGGUGACAAACCGGAGGAAGGUGGGGAUGACGUCAAAUCAUCAUGCCCCUUAUGACCUGGGCUACACACGUGCUACAAUGGAUGGUACAACGAGUUGCGAACUCGCGAGAGUAAGCUAAUCUCUUAAAGCCAUUCUCAGUUCGGAUUGUAGGCUGCAACUCGCCUACAUGAAGUCGGAAUCGCUAGUAAUCGCGGAUCAGCAUGCCGCGGUGAAUACGUUCCCGGGUCUUGGAACACACCGA
rnacentral:rRNA from 2 species